rnacentral:rRNA from 1 species
UGGGGAAUAUUGCACAAUGGGCGAAAGCCUGAUGCAGCAACGCCGCGUGAGGGACGACGGCCUUCGGGUUGUAAACCUCUUUUAGCAAGGAAGAAGCGAAAGUGACGGUACUUGCAGAAAAAGCGCCGGCUAACUACGUGCCAGCAGCCGCGGUAAUACGUAGGGCGCAAGCGUUAUCCGGAAUUAUUGGGCGUAAAGAGCUCGUAGGCGGUUUGUCGCGUCUGCUGUGAAAAACCCGAGGCUCAACCUCGGGCCUGCAGUGGGUACGGGCAGACUAGAGUGCGGUAGGGGAGAUUGGAACUCCUGGUGUAGCGGUGGAAUGCGCAGAUAUCAGGAAGAACACCGAUGGCGAAAGGCAGAUCUCUGGGCCGUAACUGACGCUGAGGAGCGAAAAGGGUGGGGAGCAAAACAGGCUUAGAAUGACCCUGGUAGUCCACCCCGUAAAACGUUGGGAACUAAGUUGUGGGGUCCAUUCCACGGAUUCCGUGACGCAGCUAACGCAUUAAGUUCCCCGCCUGGGGAGUACGGCCGCAAGGCUAAAAACUC